CCUACGUGAUGCAGCAGUGAGGAAUAUUGGUCAAUGGACGCAAGCCUGAACCAGCCACGCCGCGUGCAGGAAGACGGCUCUAUGAGUUGUAAACUGCUUUUGUACGAGGGUAAACGCAGAUACGCGUAUCUGUCUGCAAGUAUUGUACGAAUAAGGAUCGGCUAACUCCGUGCCAGCAGCCGCGGUAAUACGGAGGAUUCAAGCGUUAUCCGGAUUUAUUGGGUUUAAAGGGUGCGUAGGCGGUCGGAUAAGUUAGAGGUGAAAGUCCGAGGCUCAACUUCGGAAUUGCCUCUGAUACUGUUCGUCUAGAGAGUAGUUGCGGUAGGCGGAAUGUAUGGUGUAGCGGUGAAAUGCUUAGAGAUCAUACAGAACACCGAUUGCGAAGGCAGCUUACCAAGCUACUUCUGACGUUGAGGCACGAAAGCGUGGGGAGCAAACAGGAUUAGAUACCCCUGUAGUC
rnacentral:rRNA from 1 species